GAUGAACGCUGGCGGCGUGCCUAAUACAUGCAAGUCGAGCGAAUUGACAGAGGUGCUUGCACCUCUCGAUUUUAGCGGCGGACGGGUGAGUAACACGUGGGUAACCUACCUAUAAGACUGGGAUAACUUCGGGAAACCGGAGCUAAUACCGGAUAAUAUUUAGCUUCGCAUGAAGCAAUAGUGAAAGACGGUUCUGCUGUCACUUAUAGAUGGACCUGCGGUGUAUUAGCUAGUUGGUGAGGUAACGGCUCACCAAGGCAACGAUACAUAGCCGACCUGAGAGGGUGAUCGGCCACACUGGGACUGAGACACGGCCCAGACUCCUACGGGAGGCAGCAGUAGGGAAUCUUCCGCAAUGGACGAAAGUCUGACGGAGCAACGCCGCGCGAGUGAAGAAGGUUUUCGGAUCGUAAAACUCUGUUGUAAGGGAAGAACAAGUACGUUAGUAACUGAACGUACCUUGACGGUACCUUACCAGAAAGCCACGGCUAACUACGUGCCAGCAGCCGCAGUAAGAC
rnacentral:rRNA from 1 species